GACGAACGCUGGCGGCGUGCUUAACACAUGCGAGUCGAACGGACAGACAGAGAGCUUGCUCUCUUGAAGUUAGUGGCGAACGGGUGAGUAACGCGUAAUCAACCCGCCCUUCAGAGGGGGAUAACAACGGGAAACCGUUGCUAAUACCGCGUACGAUUCAUGAACGGCAUCGUUUAUGAAUGAAAGGUGGCCUCAAUGGAUAAGCUAUCGCCGGAGGAGGGGAUUGCGUCUGAUUAGCGAGUUGGAGGGGUAACGGCCCACCAAGGCAAUGAUCAGUAGCCGGUCUGGGAGGAUGAACGGCCACAUUGGGACUGAGACACGGCCCAAACUCCUACGGGAGGCAGCAGUGGGGAAUCUUCCGCAAUGGACGAAAGUCUGACGGAGCAACGCCGCGUGAGUGAUGAAGGUCUUCGGAUUGUAAAGCUCUGUUAAUCGGGACGAAAGAGUUCUGCGUGAAUAAUGCAGAAAAGUGACGGUACCGGAAUAGAAAGCCACGGCUAACUACGUGCCAGCCGCCGCAGUAA
rnacentral:rRNA from 1 species